ACCCGCCGCGAGCUAGGCAUCGCGGCCGCCCGGGAGAGCCUCUUCCGUGGUCCCAGGGCCGCCCAAACGCAGCCAGAGACCGUCCGUCAACUCCUGCCCCCGCGCGACGCGUAGGCCCUCGUGACGUCACACGGCUUCUUCCGGUGACCGGGACGCAGCCACGCUCGGGACUACAGAGGGAAAGAAGAGAAGGGAGGUGAUAAAAUGUAGAGUAGCCCUAAACUUGGUAGGGCACGACGGGAGUUGUAGUUCUCCCACCUCGCGGGCUCCGUUUACGGGCGGUUUUCCAGGAGUUCAAGCCCCGCGCGCAGCCUAUCCGGGUACACCUUCAGCUGCGCUCAGCUCAGAGGCUGCUGCUGUUCUGGAGGGGGUAUGUUUAAUGCUGGUCCAUGCAUUUGGCGACACACACUGGAGAAUCCCUUGGAAAUGGACUCCAUUAACGUGAAACGGAGCGUUUGAGAGCAACCAGGAAUGACCGCUGUUUACCGAGCACUUUCUCUGAAGCACGCACUGAGCUACGUGCUCUCAGUUAACUACAUUCAUUUAAUCCUGUGAAGUCGGGAUUGUUUAGCCUUAUUUUACAGAUGAGGACACUACAUGCCAACAAAAAAUCUCAACUUGAGGGAUAAAAGGAGCUAACCCUGCAGAGAUCUGGAGAUGGAAGAGAAAGGCUGUGAAGCAAAAAAUGUGCUUGGUAAAGUUGGAAGGAUGGAAGGAGGAGCUGGAAGGUGCCCCCAGUGAAAGAGAAGAAUUGCGGUGGUAGUAAGCAGCAUGUGCAUCCAUAGCACCUUCAUGCCUGGGACGCUGAAGAUUUCAAUCCUGGGUUGCUGUCAUGGUGGUGAUGAGUCUCAGAAAUCUCAGAACCAUGGAGCCUGCAUGUGGCUAAGAGCUUGGGCUCUAACUUCAGAGUCUUAACCCUUAUUUUUGCCUAAGGAAUGUGGUUUUCCUAGACUUCAAACCACUCAGCAUGUGUGGCCUCCAACAGACCUGCAGCCACGGGACUUUUAUGAUCACAUUGGGUCCAGAUGGAUAAUCCAGGACACGCUGCAGAUCUGGUGACAGGAGGUCCAAGACUGGUAUGGUAGCGCCACAACACCAUCCACUGACCCCUUCUGUCUUGCUGUAUACAUACUUCACAAUGACUGUAAGCCUCAAGCAUCAUGUAUGUUUUUCCGGCAAGAAGAAUGAAGUGGAAGAACAGUACCAGAAAAAUGCAGCUUACUCGUCAUUUGCCAGAACUGAGUCAUGAGGGUCACCUCUACCUGCUGGGCGAUCUGAGAAGAUACGUUCGAUUUCUUGCAUCUCUAAAAAGGGAAGGAGAAUGGAAAUCAAUGUUGGAAUGAGUGAGAGCUGCGUUCACCUCCAGAAUGACUGCAACAACUAAGUGAACUUAACCAAGAACUUUGCCCAGUUACUGAAGAUCAGGUGCCAGGUGCUAGAAUUUUAGUGGACUACUUGCUGCACGUGUUCUAAGAUACCUGGUGACAGGUUAGGUGCAGCUUCCACUCUCUUCCUUUCUGCAGGGCUCAGGCACAAGAGAGGAGAUUGAAUCCGGGGCAGACAGCUUCACAUUAGGGCACCCCCCCCCUCUAUUCCCUACCUGUGUGUAAUCCCAUGCUUGUUGUACAGUCUCUUCAGGAGUAAAUGCCAAGUCACAUGCCUCCCAGCACAGCUGCAACUCAUUAGUCAGAGAUUUCACAACGAAUGCUUCUGUAAACCAGGUGCAAUCUGACCCGCUAACAUUCCACAUUUAUCUUACUUUGCUACAUUCUUGGGAAUAGAGUGGCAAGAAGGCAAAUCUAAGGUCAUAUCCCCGGAGUCCCUGGGUCUGAUGUAUGAGUUCAUGCCUGCUGAAAACCCUUUUCUUGCAGUAACCGGGUACUUAAAAAAUAGUGUCCCUUUCUUCCUCUUGAAUUCGGAAUCGGUCGAAAGAGAGAUUCAGACAAAUGAAGGUCAAACUGUUACCUUAAUAAAGCUGACUAGAAGACGUG